rnacentral:piRNA from 1 species
UGNGACACUGGGCCUACUGUGGGAUG